UAGUCUUAUGCAGGCUCCCUGGAUUCGACGGACUGCCUUCGGAUGGUCAGCCUCUUUCCUCAGGGAAGAAUAGUGACGGUACCUGAGGAAUAAGUCUCGGCUAACUACGUGCCAGGCAAGCCGCGGGUAAUACGUAAGAGGCGAGCGUUAUCCGGAUUUAUUGGGCGUAAAGUGGGCGUAGGUGGUCUUUCAAGUCAGAUGUGAAAUCUCCCGGCUCAACUGGGAGGGGUCAUCUGAUACUGUUGGACUUGAGUGCAGCAGGGGAAAAUGGAAUUCCCGGUGUAGUGGUGAAAUGCGUAGAUAUCGGGAGGAACACCAGAGGCGAAGGCGAUUUUCCAGGCUGAAACUGACACUGAGGCCCGAAAGCGUGGGGAGCGAACAGGAUUAGAUACCCUGGUAGUCCACGCCCUAAACUAUGGGUACUAGGUAUAGGGAGUAUCGACCCUUUCUGUGCCGAAGCUAACGCUUUAAGUACCCCGCCUGGGGAGUACGGUCGCAAGACUAAAACUCAAA
rnacentral:rRNA from 1 species